AAACACACAGAGAUCCAAAUCGGAAAACCCUAAACCCUUUCAUCGUGAAUGGCUUCAGCGUGCAGCAGAUUCGCGUCACGAAGAGCAUCGAUUUCCUCCAUAAAAUCGGCGAUCAGAUCCAACACUCGCGCCGCUCCUUCUUUCUCUCAACCGGCCACCGCCUCCACUCCUCUCCGCCGCUCCUUCUCGACGAGGAUUGCGCCGGCGCUGGGAUGCGUGCAGUCGAUGUUGCCGCUGCACAGUGCGGUUGCGGUGGCUAGGAUGACGACGCGGCUGAGCAUAACCUCGAGGAGUUGCCGUGCGCUUUCUCAGGGUACUCUCUGCUGCACCUCUCCCGGCCUCUAAUACUUUGUUUUUCAAAAUUGUUCACAAACUGCACAUAGUUAAGUGGGAAUAUGCGGAACCAGCCAAUUAAAGCAUACUGCUUCAUUAUCAAAUGGAAUUGAUGGGACGUGAGACAUUCUUCCUGUUCUUAAGAGCUGGGUCUAUCAGUUCCAAGGUGAUCUGCUAGAAGAGACAUUGAAGAAAGCCUUUAACAUUUGUAAGGUUGGAUUUGUGGUGGUUUUGUUAUAUCUAUAUCCAGAAAGCGGUUAUAUUCGCUGUAAUUCUUUCAGGCUGAGAAAUUGAUUUUUUCCUGAAUAAAAACCUUGAUUUUGUAUAAUCAUUCAUAUGCAUAAUUAGAACUACAUACUGUUCAAUUA